rnacentral:lncRNA from 1 species
AAGUUCUCUGAUUGCUUUGCUGGUAUUCUCUUACGAAUUUUAAUUUGCUCCUUUUUAAAUUCUUCAAUCAGUUUCUUGAGUUGUUUGAGUGGUUAGAAAUGUUCUUACCUGCUAAUCAUGGUAUUGUACACCGCAACUGUGGAUGCGGUAUGAUUUAAGAUCUGGCAUCCAACCGCAUUUGAAACCACAUCACACAAUUUCAACUAUAUUUUUCCAGUAUUUUUCAUCAAUUCUCAAAAUUUAAGAACUCUAAAUUAUUAUUCUCUGUAUCGUUGAAACUGUGGCACAACAUUUGAUUAGUGAGGUUAAUCUUAUUUACAAGCUACAUGGUUGUUGGGUUAAUGGUAAAUUUAAAUGAAAUAAAGUAGAUGGUGUAAUGUUGGAGUGAAAAAUACUUGAGAGUAAAAUGAACUACGUUAAUAUUUUCUAAAGUCUACAAGGAAGUUAAAUAAAUUUCACGAAAUUCUGUUGGUUUGGUUCAGAUGAGUAGCAGACAACAUAUUACAACCUAUGAAAUCUCGUAUUACAACCUAUGAAAUAUCUCUUUCUUAGCUCCUGCCAAUGUUCUUGCAAGUUGUAGAAUACAUUUUCAUUCUUUGCUUUAGCUAUAACUUCAACCUCAUCAUUUUAAUUUCCACUUCAUCCUCGUUUAAGAAUAAUGUCAAUUAAGAAUAUAAUAAAACUAUAAAUACAAGUGCAACGCUCUUUCAAGUAUCGAGUUAUCAAUGAAUUAAAAAAAGUUAAUAUUGUUGGAAAAGAAGAAGAUUUUGUUUUCAAAAUAAUCAUUUAUUUCAAAAAAAUAAUUCAAAAUAAUCAAUUAUUCAAAAAAAAGUUAUCAAAAUACUCCGAUUUUGUAGAGGAUGUGUUAGAUGAAUUGACGCAUUCUUAAUGCAUGAAGAGGAGGUGUUAAUAGCAUUGGCACAUGCAUUGGGCUCUUCAUGAGGAAGCGCCAAUGUUAAUGGUGCAUUCAUUGGGUCUAAUGAGAAGGUGCUAAUGCUCUUGGUGUCUAGGUGUAUUUGGUUGUGUGAGCGUUCAUUCAUCUGGCGUCUGCAUGUCAUGGUCAUGUGGGCGCUAAUCCUUUAGAUGUCCAUGUGUUUUGUGCAAUUGAUGUUCUGUCUUUAUAAAUAUCAUAACUUGUCUAGUUCAACCAUUAAUUUUAAUUUUUUCUGUUUCAAUAAUGUUUGCAUACAUUUAGAAAUGAAAACUGUAAUAUUUUCUGUCGUUGCGAUUCUGAUACAAGUUCAAUUAUGAAACACAAAUACAAUUGAAUGUCUUAAUCGGAUGUUGUACAAUUGGUUAGAGGGAGAAAUUGAAGAGGUUGAAUGGAUUAGAAGAAUACAAUGGCUUGUGUCUACGUUCAACCAACAGGGAGAAGUGCGCGAAUUGAUGGAUAUUAAGACCAUAGGAUGAUGUAUUACAUGUUCAAAAUUGUUUUGAUGGUUGUAAUUGCAUAGUUUUUGUAUUGUAUUUGUUAUAAUUAUUUGUGUUAUUAUUUAUGUAAUGGUACUUUUGUCACAGACGUUUAAUAUGAAAUAAAUUUAUGUAAUUGUAGAACAUGUAAAUUUAUUUGGUUGUGCUAGUUUCAAUACUAGGACAGUUAUUACGAUUGUGACCUGGUUGAUGGCAUGUACUACAUAGCCUUAUCCGAAUCCGGGUACUGUUUUGGCGGCC